rnacentral:sRNA from 1 species
CAUACGGUACCAGCUUUCAAAGCCCUUGAAACCCUGUUUGCCGUGUCCAGAUUCUUCGUGAAAACCCCUGCCGCUAGCCCGUACUUCGUCUCGUUCGCCCUCUUUAUCACCUCAUCCACAUCACUGA